UACUUAGGUGGCAAGCGUUGUCCGGAUUUACUGGGCGUAAAGGAUGUGUAGGCGGAUACUUAAGUGAGAUGUGAAAGCCCCGGGCUCAACCUGGGGACUGCAUUUCAAACUGGGUAUCUAGAGUGCAGGAGAGGAAAGCGGAAUUCCUAGUGUAGCGGUGAAAUGCGUAGAGAUUAGGAAGAAUACCAGUGGCGAAGGCGCCUUUCUGGACUGUAACUGACACUGAGGCUCGAAAGCGUGGGGAGCAAACAGGAUUAGAUACCCUGGUAGUCCACGCCGGAAACGAUGAAUACUAGGUGUAGGGGUUGUCAUGACCUCUGUGCCGCAGUUAACACAAUAAGUACUCCGCCUGGGAAGUACGGUCGCAAGAUUAAA
rnacentral:rRNA from 1 species